rnacentral:rRNA from 1 species
UUCCGUAGGUGAACCUGCGGAGGGAUCAUUACACAAAUAUGAAGGCGGGCUGGAAUCUCUCGGGGUUACAGCCUUGCUGAAUUAUUCACCCUUGUCUUUUGCGUACUUCUUGUUUCCUUGGUGGGUUCGCCCACCACUAGGACAAACACAAACCUUUUGUAAUUGCAAUCAGCGUCAGUAACAAAUUAAUAAUUACAACUUUCAACAACGGAUCUCUUGGUUCUGGCAUCGAUGAAGAACGCAGCGAAAUGCGAUAAGUAGUGUGAAUUGCAGAAUUCAGUGAAUCAUCGAAUCUUUGAACGCACAUUGCGCCCUUUGGUAUUCCAAAGGGCAUGCCUGUUCGAGCGUCAUUUGUACCCUCAAGCUUUGCUUGGUGUUGGGCGUCUUGUCUCUAGCUUUGCUGGAGACUCGCCUUAAAGUAAUUGGCAGCCGGCCUACUGGUUUCGGAGCGCAGCACAAGUCGCACUCUCUAUCAGCAAAGGUCUAGCAUCCAUUAAGCCUUUUUUCAACUUUUGACCUCGGAUCAGGUAGGGAUACCCGCUGAACUUAAGCAUAUCAAUAAGCGGAGGAA